rnacentral:rRNA from 1 species
UACGGAGGGUGCGAGCGUUGUCCGGAAUCAUUGGGCGUAAAGGGCGCGUAGGUGGCCCGGUCAGUCAGUGGUGAAAGCGCUGGGCUCAACUCCGCGUCGGCCAUUGAUACUGCUGGGCUGGAGCACUGUAGAGGCAGGCGGAAUUCCGGGUGUAGCGGUGGAAUGCGUAGAGAUCCGGAAGAACACCGGUGGCGAAGGCGGCCUGCUGGGCAGUUGCUGACACUGAGGCGCGACAGCGUGGGGAGCAAACAGG